AUUGAACGCUGGCGGCAGGCCUAACACAUGCAAGUCGAGCGAGCGGCGGACGGGUGGGUAAUGUAUGGGAAUCUUCCCGAUCGUGGGGGAUAACUCCUGGAAACGGUGGCUAAUCCCUCAUACUAUCGUAUGCCCCCAUAUGGGAUUUGCUAGUCGGUGGGGUAAAGGCUCACCUAGGCGACGAUCUCUCGCUGGUCUGAGAGGAUGAUCAUCCACACUGGGACUGAGACACGGCCCAGACUCCUACGGGAGGCAGCAGUGGGGAAUAUUGCAAAAUGGGAGCAAGCCUGAUGCAGCCAUGCCGCGUGUAUGAAGAAGGCCUUAGGGUUGUAAAGUACUUUCAGCGGGGAGGCGUUACCCGCAGAAGAAGCACCGGCUAACUCCGUGCAAGCAGCCGCGGUAAUAC
rnacentral:rRNA from 1 species